rnacentral:sRNA from 1 species
CGCAGACAGUGUGUUGGAGAGGUACUUGCAAAGUGAUCCUGCUCAUAGAGCUGUAUUUACAUCUAAAAAGGACUUUCAAGCCUAUCGUGAAGGCGGAAUAGCGCAGUUGCAAUUCAAGCUUACACCCCUCAUGUUUUAUACUCUAUUCUUCUUAGAGACAUACGCGCAGGCCCGGUCUGAACUUCAGUCCAACCUCUACGCCGUAUACAAGGCUGGCCGACUUCCUGUCACCAUUCAACCCGCCGACCGCACCAUAAUGUUCCGCAAACUUCAGGCUAAAAUCGUCAGUAGUCCUCCAUUUACCAACACCCGAACACUCGUGUCGACCCACCAUUGCAUCCACCUUCUCGUCUCCUAUCUGCAACUCACACUCUCCUCCGAGCCGCCAUUCCCCACGUCUUGCGAUCUGUGGAUUAGCAUGCUGCUCACCACAUCCGGGCUAGGCCGGAUUGCCGAAUUUUUCGCCGCUGAGAAGGGAGGGGGUAAUAACCAGCGCAGCAUACGGAGGGAGUUCAUGCGGAAUAUGCAAGCCGAUUUAGAUGCGAUUAGGAACGAUGAGCGGGCCUCUAAAGUAUAUGGGAGCGGGGAAGAAAGUAGGAGGCCGCCCCGCCUACGGGAAAUUUGGUUUG